rnacentral:lncRNA from 1 species
UGUGUACAAGGAACUGUGAUGUCUCAGAUGAUUUGUAAGAACUGGGUGAAGAAGCUGGAGUCCAAGGCUGUGGACACAGAUUCACAUUUAUGAAGUUAAAGCAAAGACACGUGGACCUGUGAGGUAACCACAUGUGAAAUCUGCUUUGAGAAAAAGUUCGAAGACUUCUUCUCUAUUUGCAUGGUCUGAGGGAUGCACCAGUUC